rnacentral:rRNA from 1 species
AUGGCCUGCUUCCCUUGCAAUCCUCUCCCCCACCUUCCUCUCGGCACUACAAUCCUCCCACCUGGCCCUCUUCGUGCUCGUUGUGGAUAUGUGGUGCCUGGAGGUGAGCUCCCAAUGGUCUGCGAUGAGUGGGCAAUCGCCACACUCGUACCUGAGGUAUCUGCAGAGGAGUUUCAUGGCGCCAUUGCUCUGAUCACCAACUACCUGGAGGGGCACGGAUGGCGCAUCAACUACACAUCUCGCUAUGGUAUGGGCACUGCUCUUAUUCAGUUUACCACUGCUUGCUCACGCGAUACUGCCGUCAGUCUCAGUCCGUUUCAGAUUGGGGAUUCUGUUCUUAGAGUUAGCAGGCAGGACAGAGGCUUGAACUACCGUAGCAUUACUUUUACCCAUGAUAUCUGGAUAAUGCUCAUGAACUAUCCUCUGGAAUGCUGGGAUGUGGGGGUCAUUAGCCGUACUGUUUUACCCUAUGGUCGAUUUCUGAUAUGGAACAAAGAUCCUAGGGACAAGUCAAGGGUUGUUGUUAAGCUAAGGGUUAUGAAUGUGGACACCAUACCAGUUAGCUUAGUUGUGCUGAGAAAUCUUGAUGAUGUGGGCUAUGGUGACUCAUGGACCUGUCCAACAUAUAUUUUGUCUCGGGAACUGAUUGGUCAGCAUGGGGGAGAUGAGGAUCCUCUGCCCCCUGAUGGUGGUAACCCCCAUCCACUCCCUCAUGUCCAUGGAGGGUUUUGGCAUGAUGAGGUUUUAGGUAAUAUCCCUAUGGAUCAGGUGGUUAUCAAGGUCUGGGGUAGCACGAAGAAGGACUCCCUGGUCGAACUCGCCUCGGCCAUCAUCGACCCUACUACAAAAAGAUGA